CACGAUCCCCACCCCACCUUCCCUCCCACUCCCGGUUCCCCCAACCACGGCCACCAACCACGACGACCUCCCACCCCACCCCCGAUUCCCCCUACCCUCCCCGCCCAUCCACCUACCUCCGGCCACGCCAGGCCCAACCAACACCGGAUCGGGGGGAUCCUCCUCUGCCUCCCUCUCCCACGCCUACCCCGGCCUCCAACCGCCGCCCUCACCUCCCGCCCCACCGUGCCGGCCACUGGAUCGACAUCGGCCGCCGCCCCACAGCCUCCACCCUCGGGUCCCCGAGAGCAGCCAUGGCGCCCCGUCAGAUCUGGCCUCUGCCGCACCUAUAGCCGCCCCUCCAAGGCCGCCGGACUUCGCUGCUCCCCUGGCCGCCAGUGCCCCUAGUCCCCUCCACAGGCCGCCGCCGCGCCGUCCAUCCACGGGGUCCAGUGCCGGGGAGGGAUGCGAUGGUGGCCUCGGGGGGCGAGGACGGGUGGUGGUGGUUCAAGGCGGGGAGGAGACCCGCACCGUCGUCCCGCUUGGGCCCGCACCUUCGCGGCCCAGCCUUCUCCGUUCCCCUACCUCCUGCAGAGAUGCCGGAUCUGUGAGCCAGCGGCAUGUCCCAUGCCGUCUCGGAGCUCAACCGCCAAGGAUUCGUGAUUUCUUUUGUUGUUGCGCUCUUCCUCGACCCCGACGAGUGCACUUCCUCCACCUAGAAAGAGUGCUGCAGUUCAGUUGGUCCCCCCUCUCUGAACCCCCUCUUCCACCAACCUUCUGUCGGCGUCAGUCCCACGGCUUCAGCCGUGACCAUCUACCUCCCCUCGAUGAACUGCAUCGCCACCGGUGUCGUUGGUGAGCAGUUCGCUUGUGCUGUUGCUGCUGAACCUCCCCGACUCACAUCAGUGUUACUCCAAAAGAUGAGGUUCAGUUUCUUGCAUUCUGACGGCCACACCGACGUGUGUGUGCGCGGGUGCAGCUUGCAAAAAAGCCCCCAUAAUCAACUCAGUUGGUGCUGAGUGUGCGGUUUGAUUUUUUUCCUACAAAAGAUGUGCUCUGGUGAAGUUCAUUGCUGAUGUAUCUCUAGUGCAGUUUUCAGAUAGGUGCUACUGCCUUCUGCACUCCUUCUUUGAUCCACUAUGGAGGCAAAAAACAAGAAAGGAAAUAUUCUUGUUUAGAAGACCACUUGUGAAUUUGAUGUGUUCAAUAGCGAAUUGUACAGAUUUGUGUCCUAGAGGGAAAGCAGUUUGGGUGUGUAGUUUUUUUUGUGUCUGGAUGCAUUAUUUUUGACACAUUUCACUCGCUUGCCAUGUGCAGUAAGAGACUACAAAAGAAAAUGCAGUGCACUCUUGUCUACAGUACACCAUUUAUAAAAAAUGUAAUAAAAAAGUGCACUCUGAUCCAAA